rnacentral:rRNA from 1 species
GGAUCCAGACUUUGAUCCUGGCUCAGGAUGAACGCUAGCUACAGGCUUAACACAUGCAAGUCGAGGGGAAACGAUAUUGGAAGCUUGCUUCCGAUAGGCGUCGACCGGCGCACGGGUGAGUAACGCGUAUCCAACCUGCCCACCACUUGGGGAUAACCUUGCGAAAGUAAGACUAAUACCCAAUGAUAUCUCUAGAAGACAUCUGAAAGGGAUUAAAGAUUUAUCGGUGAUGGAUGGGGAUGCGUCUGAUUAGCUUGUUGGCGGGGUAACGGCCCACCAAGGCGACGAUCAGUAGGGGUUCUGAGAGGAAGGUCCCCCACAUUGGAACUGAGACACGGUCCAAACUCCUACGGGAGGCAGCAGUGAGGGAUAUUGGUCA